GCCGAUAAUGGAUGAUCGGUUUGGGUAUGCCGUACGUGGAUGAUCGGUUUGGGUAUGCCGUACGUGGAUGAUCGGUUUGGGUAUGCCGUACGUGGAUGAUCGGUUUGGGUAUGCCGUACGUGGAUGAUCGGUUUGGGUAUGCCGUACGUGGAUGAUCGGUUUGGGUAUGCCGUACGUGGAUGAUCGGUUUGGGUAUGCCGUACGUGGAUGAUCGGUUUGGGUAUGCCGUACGUGGAUGAUCGGUUUGGGUAUGCCGUACGUGGAUGAUCGGUUUGGGUAUGCCGUACGUGGAUGAUCGGUUUGGGUAUGCCGUACGUGGAUGAUCGGUUUGGGUAUGCCGUACGUGGAUGAUCGGUUUGGGUAUGCCGUACGUGGAUGAUCGGUUUGGGUAUGCCGUACGUGGAUGAUCGGUUUGGGUAUGCCGUACGUGGAUGAUCGUACCUAAAGCUAAUCAGAUAUAUGCUCUUCUCCUCAGCUGAAGCAAAGCAGAGGUCAAGCCUCAAAUGACCUACACGGUUUUCUUCGUAAGGGCAUUUAAUAUUUUGUAGUGCAUACAUUGCACAAUUUUCUUCAUUAUGCAUUUAAUACAAGGCUCCAUUUUGUUUGUGUACAUUACACCAUUUCUUUCAUAAUGCAUUUUAUACGAGGCUAUGUAGAAUUUUAUGGGUUGCCAGAUUGGAGAAAAAGUACACAUUUUUGUAGAAUUUUAUGGGUUGCCAGAUUGGAGAAAAAGUACACAUUUUUGUAGAAUUUUAUGGGUUGCCAGAUUGGAGAAAAAGUACACAUUUUUGUAGAAUUUUAUGGGUUGCCAGAUUGGAGAAAAAGUACACAUUUUUGUAGAAUUUUAUGGGUUGCCAGAUUGGAGAAAAAGUACACAUUUUUGUAGAAUUUUAUGGGUUGCCAGAUUGGAGAAAAAGUAUACAUUUUUGUUUUGUUUUUGUUGUCGAUGAAUGUGUUUGAUUGGGGAAUGGAAAUACAUUUUUAUGAUGGGGAAUUUAUAAUGUACACAAACACACUCACUUUGUUUGUACUCGUGUUAUAGCCAACUCUUGACUUUUUCUAUGAAUUAUUUUUUAUAGAAUGUUUGUAUCUAGUUGUCAUGUAUUCAUUAUCUUUUAUUAGGUUAAAUGUUUGUAGUUUGUAUGUUUCAGUAAUGAUUAACACGGUUAAAUAGUCGUAAAUCACUGCUUCAUUUAGCUUUUGGUAUAUUUGGCGUUUUAUACAGUCUGUAUUUCACUGAAGAAAGCAAUGCAAUAAAUGGUAAGAAAUGCUCA